AGAAAUGAUAAGGUAAUCCAUUGUUUUCAUGCGGUACGAUAGCUUCUGAAGCGAGCAACUUUCUCGCUUCAACGGAAACAAAAAUCUGUUUAUGACUUUGGAACUCUUAAUUUUUCCAUCCAUGUCUAUUACGACCUUUUUCCAUUGUUUGGCAAAUACGAUCUACCUCAGAAGCUAUGAAUCCUUUAUUUGCUUCACCUUGUACAUUAAAAGUUACAUUUAAGCAAACUAUCGUAAAAAUUUUUACGUCAUUAAACUUUCAAAUUUCUCACAACAAUUACGUUUGCUUUUUAAUGUUAGUCAAAGGUUCAAAUAACGUAUAAAUUAAUUCGAUCUCUUCUCUUAACGAUACGCUUAAUAAAGAAGUAACAGGAAGGGAGGUACGGAAUGAACAAAAGAUAAUUCGAAUUAAAUGAAUUCAAAUUUUGUUCAUGUAACUAAUAGAAGAAACAUGACAGAGAAGAGACGGUAUACAAUAAAAAGGGCAUAGGUAGUUAGAGAGAGACGAAAAUAGCGUAGUUACGAUCGAACGUGAAAAGGACAAGUAUCGAGAGAAAGAGAAAAAGUGUAACCUGUGCUGAAAUCAAACGGGAAGGAGAAAGGAGGGUUGCAACGUUAAAGAGAAACGAAGAGAGAACAACGAUAGAAAGGAAAAAGUAACGCGUAGGAAAGAGAUGGAACAUCGACAAAGAAGGAGAAGGAUGACCGCUGAAGGUGGGAGUAGGAAAGAUAAAGAGAAAGACGGACGAAGCCGGUUACCAGUGCGGCUGACUCACCGAUCGUUCUCGUUGCGCUAUCAGUGACGAGUCUGCUUGACCAUUGCGCAUCUGUGACGAGAUAAUCAGAAAAAUUAAUUGACCAGAUGUCCCGAGCCGAUUUUUGUCACGAUACGAUCAUAUAGAACACGGUGAACUAAUUUUAUCUUUAAUAAAUCGUCUCGUAUAUUAUUGAGAAAAGAUUCGUUCGAAAAUUUCUAUUUUCAAGGAGCAAUCAAGAUUUCGAAGGCAACAAAUACAUUGCUUCAAGAGAAGGGAAAAUAAAAUGUACUCAAAGUGUAUCAUUUUUGUACAGCUGUAUAAAUCUCACUUGGUGAUUUGAGUAAGUUUAAAAGAAAAAGAAACGAAGAAAAACGGAUCCGUAAAAAUAUCGUUGAAAAAUUACUGGUUACGGUUCACUUUGGUAAUAUCCUGUCGAGUCACGUAAUUAUAUAAAAUAUCAUGUUAUGUUGUUUCCACGAACUUCCAUCAGCUCGAUUUUCUUUAAAUAUUUUUACGCCGAAAAUAAAUAACAUAAUAAUAAGGUCAUUACGAAAUGUUGAUCCUCGACACACAAAAUGAUAUACGUUCUCGAUAAUUUAAAAAAAAAUAAGCAAAUUCGUAUACUAUCGUUAUAUUUUGGUAAGAAUUCUGAUGAGUCACGUUCGAGAGUCGCAAGAUUGCAAAUGAAUUCAUAAACAUUCACGGUGAUUAACAACCGAUGAUAAUUGUUAUUAGCAUAUGCACGAUUGACUUUUAUAUAAAAGAGAUAUACACGAUAAAGAUUUUCGUAAGUACGCAGCGUCCUCUCAGAACAAGCGACUGGACGAUUAAAGUCCUAUUGUAUAUCCGAUAUAGGAAAAUCUUCUUUUAUAGCGCGAAACCAUUCAAUUCUUCCAUCGAUCGAUUCCCUCAAGGACGAGAACUGCCGGUAUCGUACUUUAGAUUUAAACACCGUGACCCGCGAUCAUUUUGUCGAAACUGUUAUACGAUAUUGAUUACACAACUUAAUUCACAAUUAAAAGAACGUGAGUUUUCAAGUUCUACAGAAAUACAAAUAUUUGUGUAAAAAAUUGCCUAAUUAAAUGCAUGGCGUUUUUCAAUUAUUCAGUAAAAUUUAAUAUAAUAAUCUAUAAGCUGAGAAACUUAUGUAUUAAUAUUUUGAUUAUUAAGCAAAAAUAUCAAUUCUAUAUAUGGAAGAAUAGGAAUUCUGUGCAAUAUGUUAGUAAUAAUGAAAAAGUUUUGUAACAAUAAAGAUUAAUGGUCCUCCAAUGUA